rnacentral:rRNA from 1 species
AAGCUCGUAGUUGAAUUUCGGGAUUUAUCCGUCGGUCGGGCUUUUGGGUCUGUACUGGCGUGAUGGAUUCCUACCUUCUGAAUAACCGGCAUGUCAUUAAUUUGGUGCGCUGGGGAAGCAGGACUGUUACCUUGAAAAAAUUAGAGUGUUUAAAGCAGGCUCACGCUUGAAUACAUUAGCAUGGAAUAAUGAAAUAGGACGUUCGAUCCUAUUUUGUUGGUUUUAGGAUCAACGUAAUGAUUAAUAGGGAUAGUUGGG